rnacentral:rRNA from 1 species
CACGUAGGGUGCGAGCGUUGUCCGGAAUUAUUGGGCGUAAAGCGCGCGUAGGCGGAAGGCGAAGCGUGGCCUGAAAGCCCCCCGGCUCAACCGGGGAGGGCGGCUGCGAACUGGCCUUCUUGAGGGCGAUAGAGGGGGGCGGAAUUCCUGGUGUAGCGGUGAAAUGCGUAGAGAUCAGGAGGAACACCCGUGGCGAAGGCGGCCCCCUGGGUCGGCCCUGACGCUGAGGCGCGAAAGCGUGGGGAGCGAACGGG